GGGGAUGUAGCUCAGCUGGGAGAGCGCCUGCUUUGCACGCAGGAGGUCGGCGGUUCGAGCCCGCUCAUCUCCA
rnacentral:tRNA from 1 species